GUUUGGCUGGAUUGGUGGCUCUCAAAGUAUAUUCUGAGAACUGCUCCAAGAAGCCGGUCUCCUCAAAUUGGACAAUGGGGCCUGAGGACGGGCGGCACUCCUUCCCUUUGGAGACACCUGUGUUGGGAUGGGCAGCUGCCUGGUGAUAAGGGGUUGCGACAAAGGGCAUAAUGAGCAGUACUGGGCACUGGAUGUCCUUCUGGAGCUGCUGGACUCACCUGUUCCUUAUUGGAACACCAUGACCUGACCUACAUGGACAGCUGCAAGAACAAAGGAUUCCAACAUCAAGAAUUUCACAACAACCAACCACACCCCCUCCCCUUUGUAGUAUAAAAGGGGCCUGAAUUCUGACUUGGGAAGAUGGUUCUCUAGGACACUAGUCUGCCAUUUUCUUGGUCUGCCAGCUUUCCAAAUAAAGUUGUUAU